GAGGUCUUAGCUUAAGGAUAAAGUGGCUGAGUUGCAGUCAGUGGAUGUACGUAGUUGUGCAGGCCUU
rnacentral:tRNA from 1 species